rnacentral:rRNA from 1 species
CCUACGGGAGGCAGCAGUGGGGAAUAUUGCACAAUGGGGGAAACCCUGAUGCAGCGACGCCGCGUGAGUGAAGAAGUAUUUCGGUAUGUAAAGCUCUAUCAGCAGGGAAGAAAAUGACGGUACCUGAUUAAGAAGCCCCGGCUAACUACGUGCCAGCAGCCGCGGGAAUACGUAGGGGGCAAGCGUUAUCCGGAUUUACUGGGUGUAAAGGGAGCGUAGACGGCAGCACAAGUCUGGAGUGAAAUGCCGGGGCUUAACCCCGGAACUACUGUGGAAACUGUGCAGCUAGAGUGCAGGAGAGGUAAGUGGAAUUCCUAGUGUAGCGGUGAAAUGCGUAGAUAUUAGGAGGAACACCAGUGGCGAAGGCGGCUUACUGGACUGUAACUGACGUUGAGGCUCGAAAGCGUGGGGAGCAAACAGGAUUAGAUACCCCUGUAGUC